rnacentral:rRNA from 1 species
CAGUCGCCACGGGAAUACGGAGGGAGCUAGCGUUGUUCGGAAUCACUGGGCGUAAAGCGCACGUAGGCGGCUUUGUAAGUUAGAGGUGAAAGCCUGGAGCUCAACUCCAGAAUUGCCUUUAAGACUGCAUCGCUUGAAUCCAGGAGAGGUGAGUGGAAUUCCGAGUGUAGAGGUGAAAUUCGUAGAUAUUCGGAAGAACACCAGUGGCGAAGGCGGCUCACUGGACUGGUAUUGACGCUGAGGUGCGAAAGCGUGGGGAGCAAACAGGAUUAGAUACCCCAGUAGUCCCUGUCUCUUAUAC